CAUAAUUGGGGCAGGACGCCGGUAGCUGAGAGAGAGAGUAGUUGAGAGAGAGAGAGCAGGUGAAGGUCAAGGUUAAACUGAAAUGGCUUCUCUGGCAGCAUCAACAGCGGCUGCUUCCCUUGGUGUGUCUGAAUUGCUUGGAAACAGUCUGAACAACUUUAGCGGCGCAGCCAGGUCGGCCCCUUCAGCCACCACACCAGCCACCUUCAAGACCGUCGCACUCUUCUCCAAGAAGAAGGCCGCACCCCCUCCCAAGGCCAAGGCUGUUGCUCCUGCUGACGAAGAGCUCGCCAAGUGGUAUGGUAA
rnacentral:lncRNA from 1 species